rfam:Oryza rufipogon genomic scaffold, chr03
CAAAAAAACAAACCCUGGUUUCCAUGCCCAACAUUUGACCGUCCAUUUUAUUUUAAAAAAUUAUAAAAAAAAAAUAAAAUGACAAGUCACGCAUAAAAUAUUAAUCAUGUUUUAUCAUCUAACAAUAAUGAAAAUACGAAUUAUAAAAAAAUUUCAUAUAAGACGGACAGUUAAAGUUGGACAUAAAAUCUUAGGUUUUGUCUUUUU